UCGGAUUGUAGUCUGCAACUCGACUACAUGAAGCUGGAAUCGCUAGUAAUCGCAGAUCAGAAUGCUGCGGUGAAUACGUUCCCGGGUCUUGUACACACCGCCCGUCACACCAUGGGAGUCGGAAAUGCCCGAAGCCGGUGACCAAACCAAUAAGGAAGGAGCCGUCGAAGGCAGGUCUGAUAACUGGGGUGAAGUCGUAACAAGGUACC
rnacentral:rRNA from 1 species